rnacentral:rRNA from 1 species
UGGGGAAUAUUGCACAAUGGGGGAAACCCUGAUGCAGCGACGCCGCGUGAGUGAAGAAGCGCCUCGGCGCGUAAAGCUCUGUCAGCAGGAACGAUAAUGACGGUACCUGAAGAAGAAGCCCCGGCUAACUACGUGCCAGCAGCCGCGGUAAUACGUAGGGGGCAAGCGUUAUCCGGAUUUACUGGGUGUAAAGGGAGCGUAGACGGCGGGGCAAGUCUGGAGUGAAAGGCCGGGGCCCAACCCCGGGACCGCUCUGGAAACUGCCCGGCUGGAGUGCGGGAGAGGUAAGCGGAAUUCCUAGUG